ensembl:lncRNA
GUUGACAUAGAGGAUCGGGACUAAAUGGAGACUGGUUCAGGAUCAGUUCAAACGUCUUCACACUCGCUUUAACAAAGCCAUCUGGAGUUAAAGUCCACUUUCACGCUCUGCUCAUUUUUGAUGCAAUCCAGUAGAAAUCUCCCAAAACAGGCAGGUGGGCGGAGCCUGAGUAGAUGGUGUGUGUCAAGAUGCUGGGUGACAUUUGGGACGUGGUCCCUGAAGAGCCCCCUACCUGCCAGCGGGGUCCGACCUGGAUGUGGACAGUGGUCUUCCGGUCCCAGAGGACGGUGACGUCUUCGUCGGGGAAAUGAACCACGGUGAAGAACCCGGCCGGCCACAAGAACAUCCUCUGCUUCCUGUCGAUCGCGCUCGAUGGAUUCUGCGAGAAAAAAACUUUUUAAAACGUGACAACAUUUUCCCGCCUUCUCAUUUCAAUCUAAAAAGCUGAUCUCACGGGUUCCCCCGAGUCUUCGUCGAAGGCCACGGAGGAUCCGCCCACAUUGACCACGAGGGACUUCCUGCAGACGACUCCGCCGUCGAAGCAGCCGACGUUCUCAGCCGUCACGCUGAGCAUCACGUCGCCGCUGCUCUGUGGAGGACAGGCCACGCCCCUUUCACUUCGCAGGAACGCAAAGGGCUAAAAAAAUGCCGUUUGACUUUACUUAAGUGCACACGGUGUGUGAGGGCCCGGACAGACGGCGCACAUUGGAGGACAUACCUUCACCAGGUGGACCUCGCAGGCGCCCACGUAGUCGAACAGCAGCCCGUCGAACGUCCCGUAGUGGCGGUCUCCGUAGGCCGAGCACAUGGCCGGGCACGCACGGAACGCACAGCGGAACGUCCCGUGCUGGCAGACGCUGCAGAGACAGCAGAGCCUCAGUGAUUCAGCAUCGACUUGUCGAGGCUAAUGGGGGGUCGGGGGGGUCGGGAACAGUCGCAGGCUGAUUCUGCCGCCAUUAGUCUGUCAUCUGGUUCGAGUUCUCCCUUUCAGCGGCCCGGAGCGAAGAGUCGCACAAGGGCCCGCUCUGUUUUUUUGUCUUUCUCUUUCUUUCUGGCCCUGUUGAUCGGGGAGAAUUAUGGAUAUCGGGUGGCCCCUUCCUGUCAAUCCCAGGAGAAAAAAUUAGCAUCGCUGAUGGAGAUUUGUCCUGUUUCUGACGGACAGUGUGUGAAACACUCAGGGGUAAUAAAGGCUGGGGGGGGGGGCAAAAUGGGUCCAUUAAGGGGUCGUGGACCCCCCAAUACUUUGUAAACUCUUGACAGAUAUUUUUGACUGGUGGCUCGACGAUCAGGUCUUUGCGGCCGCGUGCGAGUGAGUAAAUGUGUUGCCGCGGUAACGGCGGAGGGUUAGCAACAAAACCACGUAGCGAAAUACGGUUUUCUGUUAACAUCCGAAGAAGGAGAGGAAGAGUAAGACGUCUUCCUGGUUUGUCAUGUGACGCCAUGUGGCCCAAAAAAAAAGAUUUCCCAUAGACUCAAAUCGGGAAAGAGACUUUUGUAACUAAGAGGGUCUUUUUCUCUUCCCAGCAUGGACCCUUGAUCUGAAUCAUUGCAGAGAUUUCAUCCUUCUUCCAUUGGACUCUGAACCUGAAGCCCUUCAUACAUCCGGGAUCCGUCCUGCAGGCUCAUGUUCAUUUAUCUAUAGAAAAGCUUUCUGCACCAAUGAAGGAAGGAAAUAUUCUGUGUUUUAAUGAACUAAAGAGUACUUGUGGUAAAUGCUGGUCGUACCACUGAUGGCAGGGGGAGGAGACUCGGUCGCCGGGGUAAUACUCCUUUCCUUUCCACAGACACGGACAGGAAGCAGCUUCGAAGCACUCGUCUCCAUGUUUCAGCAGGCUGCAGACACACACACACACACACACACACAAAUGAAGAGCUGCUUCAUCUAGAAAAAGGAGCUGGGAUUUGGUGGAUUGAGUUGAAUUAUUUCUUCUUAGACAUCCAUGAGAUUCCUUCAGUUUGGCUUCACCUUCUUAACUUAUAACAUUUACCCAGAUGCCCAAAAGUAUAUGACGUUUAUUCAUCUACUAACACACUCCUAACUGGAUCAACAAUAAGAGAGUCCUUCUGCACUCGGGGUCCACUCAGUCCUGAUAAACAUAUAACGCAGUAAUAAAUAAUACAUUGGGACGGCAUUCAUUCCAGCAGGGUUAUCAUCAGGCAUCAUCCUCCAUUCUAUCCGCCCCGAUGAUCCCACGUCUUUGUGAUCAGCUGAUUGGGCCGAUGAGCGACAUCAUCAAUGAAGCGGCGCGGGCCGGUUGUGAUCAUCGUUUCUUGUGUUUCGGCGACCCAACGAGGGAAGCGUCCUCAGAGGCCGAGCCGCAGCAGACACACCGUUAGCUACAUGAGAACACCAGACGAUUAGGAUUCUCAGAGAUAGAGGGAGAGACGCCCUUUGUUGCCCGGGACGGGGGCUGAUAAGUAUCUUGUAGUAUCCCGGGUCGAGAGCCACAGACCUCGGGCUCCGAUGAAACCGCGUUAACAGCGUCCUUUGUGCGGCCGCCAAACCGCCGUAUCGAUUACUCCGAUCAAAGGUCCCACAGAGGCAGCGGCGCAUCGCGAUACAUCCCCAUCAACCCGGGAUUUAAUCCCAGCAGAGGAUUGUAAAAAGGUGGCGGGUCACUUCUUCAAAUCAAACCCAUAGGAGCCGUCACAUACUUCUAAUAAAACACUUUCAGGGUGAGUCUUCUGCUCUUCUCCAACACAGCACGGCGUUCCUUUAGUAACCGACUGUCCAUUUAGAGCAGGGGUCUCAAACUCGCGGCCCGCGGGCCAAUUGCGGCCCUCGGGACGAUAUUUUGUGGCUCCAUCCUUAAUAUGAAAGUGUAAUGUUAGUGCGGCCCGCAAGUUUUAUACUGUAACCCCACUGUCAGCUGCUGUGUGGGACAUGUUAUGAUGUUCUGGUUUCCUACUGUGUGCUUGUCCAGUGAACGUGGCAUGCAUGUGACUGACAUGGGGGGCGGGUCGUGUGUGUCGGCCGAGGUGCAGAGAGCAGGAGGGUGAAAUUCAGUUUCCUGCCCUCUUUCGCGCAGGUGAUCAUGUGACUAACCGUUAGCAUCGCUCGUUUAAUAAAGUUUUCCUUUACGACUCACACUAACAACACAAGAAGCAUCUGACGUCACCGACGAGCGUCUCCGUCCAUUACUACGCAGCUUCGAUUCACGUAACUUCACGUUUGGCUAUAAAGGAAUUCCACGGUCACAUGACCUUAGGUCUCCCCCGCUGAGUUAAAGGAGGACUAGUGUUGUAGUCUCAUUGGGACCGAUCCCCCAGGGUGGGGUUCAAUGACUGCUUUUGAAAGUGAGUGUUAAGUUGUGUUAUUGUCGACCAUGCCGUUCGGACGCUAGUUCGGACGCUAGUCCGGCCCGCGUUCGGUUGAAGUGGGCUGCAUCUGGCCCGCAGCUGAUUUGAGUUUGAGACCCCUGAUUUAGAGUCAAACAGACUUCAGGGCGGGGCUACACUUUGAUUGACAGGUCUCUAACGCGCAGGAGAAGCAUAUAUUUUGCGCAGAUAUCUUAAUUUACAUAUAAUACUGGGUAUAUUCCAUGUUUCAACAACACAAAUAGAAACAGAUUGACUAUUUGUAAAAUGUAUUUUUAAUAUAAUUUUUUUUUUUUGGCUCAAGGUGGGCCACGCCCCAUUGCCCUCUAUAGACCUGCCGCCACUGGGGCGGGGCUACAGGCUGAUUGACAGGUGUCUAACAGACCACAAAGCAGAGGGUGCUUUAGGGCGGGGCUACACGUUGAUUGACAGGUCUCUAACAGACCACACAGCAGGGAGUGCUUUAGGGCGGGGCUACACGCUGAUUGACGGGUCUCUAACAGACCAUACAGCAGGGGGUGAUUUAGGGCAGGGCUACACGCUGAUUGACAGGUCUCUAACAGACCACACAGCAGGAGGUGCUUUAGGGCGGGGCUACACGCUGAUUGACAGGUCUCUAACAGACCACACAGCAGGGGGAGCUCACACGUCCUGCUUCUGCUCCGUGUCGUGAUAACGUCAUUGUCACGUAAGCUCCGCCCCGAAAAGAGACCAAACUCCCGCUUUGUUCGAUCGCCGGAUAUUAACGGCUAUUUCACACAAUGGAGCCGAGACAACUAUCGACUGACUUGAAACAUCGGCGCUGAUCUGAGCCCUCGUUAUCCCCCGUUUCAGACAUGAGAACCUUUGGAGCGAUGACCCGUCGCUGCUCGUAUCAAUACAGCCGUCAUCAGCCCGCUGAAUGACUUCUCUUUGUCUCCGUGUUUAGCACAGAAUGAGCUCACAAGCUCUCGGGUUCCAGGCUGCAAACCGACGUGGUCUCGUCCCCAGCAAAGGUCGUCCCGCUUCACCAGAAGUGAAUCACAGACGAGAGUCUCACAUUUCCUCCGGUUCAACGAUCGCAAUCCGCACAGAUGCGUCAUAAGCCGCGAUGCGCCUUGUUGAUAUUGUCACGAGGACGACGCUCGCUUUAAGUCACAGAGUGAAACCGCUUGACCCUCCAUUCAGAAGGGAUUACGGGGAUCAGAUGACGGUCAUCGACUCGGGAUGUCUGUGCAGCUCAUCGGCCGGUUGGGAGGACGUCCGUCUCCCACCGAGCAUCAAAGACUCCUCAAACGUCCUCAACAGCACCGCAAGAAAACUAAGUCCACUUUCAACAACGCACAACCUCCAAUGACAACAGAGCAGAGUGAAGAUCCUCACCCGGGGGGGCAGGUGCAUCCGGCCACGCAGGGCUCGUGCGACGAGCAGGUGAGGUUCAGCAGGGAGGAUUCGCAGGUGCGCUCGCAGGCCACGCCCCUCGACAACAGGACGCCGUCGGCCCCCUCCGAGCAGUUCUGGUACCGCUGACCGGGGGGACACAACAUGUCUGUGGGAGGACGAGAAGAAGAAAGGCUUCAACAUAUUAACACCAAGUCUCAUUUUAGACUAUUAAGAAGAUCAAUCCGGCGACACAGAUGGAGGAUCAUGAGUGACGUGACGUUUGGUUGAAGCGACUCACCGCUGUCUGACGUCUGCGACACCAGUUUGCCGUCCAGACAGAGUCUGUGAGGACACACAGAGCGAUGAAGCUUAAUGCAGGGAACACGACAGCAAACCUCCCAUCGGAAACAUCGAACUGUGGACAUUUUGAAUUAGAAUUGUUUGGACGCAGAAUAAAGUGGAUCAUUGGUGUGUGAAGGCCUCAUCUGAUCGUCCGAGUGUUUGUCUCAUCGUCCUGACCCUGAAGCUACGGCGAGAAUGGUGCUUUUCACGCGUAUAGGUGGACAGAGACGGGGGGGGCGGAGCUUACUGAACACCUGCUGACGUCAUGAUCACAUCUCCUGGUUCGUAAUCCGCUCCGAGGAAACUGCAGGGACACUCGCUCCUGAAGGAGAUGACAACUGUAAAUAAUAAUAAGCACCAGUAAACAAAGCACAGGAGACGAUGUAAUGCUGCUGGACCCGGAGCGAGUGCAACAUGAUGCUCCUCACAGGCCGCUCAGGGUCUCUGUAACCGCAGCGUUAACGCACGCUGGCGAGCUUCUGCUUCCGUUCCACUGUGUCUGCAGCAGAAACACAAAGCGCCUGGAUGAUCAUUUCUAGAGCCAUCAGCGGGUGCCUGCGUUAGCGUGCCGGCCAGCGCCACACAUCGGCCUCUGUGCCGGUCAUCAGAUAUCUGUGGCGUCCCCGGGCCCCCGAGCCGCGGGAAUGAAAGGGGGGUUUUCACGGUGAAUUCCUCCGGCGUAACUCUAUCGCGUAGUAAGUGAGGCACAAGGAUGUUAAAACACACACACACUCAAAAGAAAGCCGGGACAUUUAAGAGGAACGAAUGUCGGCCGAAAGCAUCCGACACACAGCAGACAAAUAUCGCUGAGAGGAGGAUUUUUAGUGACGCUCGGCAUUCAGGUCCAAGAAACACGACGGCGUCUCUCUGCUUGUGUUGCAGAAUUAAAAAAGGGAUUUCUCCCCCGUCCCCCGCCCCCCCCCGUCCCCCCUCACCUGUGCACGCAGGUGUGCGUCCGGUGGUUGUAGAAGGACUCCGGCGGGCAGACGCAGCCCUCUUCGCACUCCCCCCCGCAGCGAGGCGGGACGGAGAGGGCGGAGCAACGCCGCUGGCAGGACGACACGCAGGUGCCGUACUGCAUGGUGGCGGGACAGGUGACCGCUGGGGGGGGGGAGACGGUUCGAUUCCACGUCAGAGCGGUUUGAGUUCACAACAUAGAGGACGUGUUCAUUAAUGGACACCCGGAUGUUCCCUAUGAGGCUCUUUUUAAUACCUGCUUCCCACCGCCAGGUCAUAAUAUAACCAGGUGAUCGGCUGAACCACCUGUCAAUCAAACUUCAUCCCAAGUGAACCGUUACUCACCGCAGUCGGGUAUCUGCGACCGGAAGUCCACCACGACGGAGAAGCGGCGGCAGUGGCGCGCGUAGUGGGCCAGCGCCGAGCACAGGCAGGGCGUCCCGCACCGGCACGUGUCCGAGCGGCACUGCUGGUGGAAGGUCGCCGGGCUGAGGUGCUGGUGGCAGGCGGAGAACAGGUCCUGGUUCAGCACGUCGCACAUCUCCCAGGCGUAGGCCGCUGGGGCGGACAAAUCCACGGUAAAUGCACAUUUUCAGAUUUCGUGUAAUAGUUCAUGAACAACGCGGGAAAUGUCGAACGUGGAACGCGCGGCGGGCGGAAGCGGGACCGACCGGCCUGCUGGUGAGCGUCACACGGGUCCAGCUGGGGAGGACUGAGGCUGCUGGAGCACGCCGACGAGACCCUCCAGGCGUUCCCAAAGAGCUGAGGAGUGCUUUCUAUCAUCCCGGACGGAGACCUGCAGAGACCCGGAGCUCAGCGACCGUUUAGAUGUACGUGCACACGUUGUUUCAGCUUCUAAAUGCGUCUAAAAUAACUGGCACCCCACAUGACUCAACUACUACGAGUCAUCAUUUAACCGCUCUGGAGAUCUUUUGCCAAAGUGAGCGACCCCCGUCGGUCAGCGACUGAGAUGGAGAUCCAUUUACAGCUGUUAGGACCACAUCCGCCCUUCGUACAGUGGAGCCCCUAUUCCACCAACACUUCCCUCCUUGUUGAAGUGGCGAGUCCAGUUGGGCGCUCACCUGGCCCAAAAGAGCUGCUCAGAGAGCGAAGGCUUUUGAUGCCAGCCGCCGCCGAGCCCGUGUGCAUUACAGAGGGAGGGAGGGAGGGCACUUCACCGUCACCUCCCUCUCUUUUGAAACAGAAUCUCUCUCUACUUUAUCGUUGGAGGUGAGAGGGGCAAUGGGGGGGGGGUGGAGGGGUUAGGGGAGAGGUCAGAGGUCGCCCACACUCACAGAAAGUCGUCCUGAAUGUUGCCGUUGAAGGUGCCGCACAGCCCCGCGGUGUCGUCCUUCCACGGCGCGUCGGCCUGCAGGUAGACGCGGAACUGGGCCCAGCCGUACUGCAGACGCAGGCCGAAGGCCGUCCUCACCUGCAGGAACAUGGACGACAGCUCCUGGAUGUGGAAGAGGUCUGCAGAGGGAACAGCGUUCGUCACAACAAAACAGUGAUGGAGCGAUGCAAUGACAGGGCAACGACGGGGAGAGGAGGCCAUACCGUCAGAGUACGGCAGGGAGACCCGGUACUGUCCGGCCAGGAAGACCUCGCCCAAGUGACUCAACGUAACCUCCGUUCUCGGAUCCUCGUCAAUGACCAGGUUGACCGAUUGGAUGCAGGAACCGUCCAAGUUCUGCAAAUGAGAGGAGACGGCUCGAUGGAGGGUGGUGGACAAGAGGACUCACAGUGAGGGGGAGGUAAUGGGCCGGGAGAGAGAGAGAGAGAGAGAAUAGGAAAGUAGGUAAAAAGAUUUUACUCUGAAACCCUAAAAGCGUUGGUAGAAAAGUUCUGUGUUCAGGCCGCUGAAUAGUACGAGACCUCAUUAGCGGCCCCUCAAGUCUAAAAUGUGCAAAACAACCAUAGAAAUAAAUCAGGCGGCAGGAGGAUGGUUUGAGAGGCGGCCAUUUUUUUUUACCGUCACCAACUGCUGAAUGAACUAAACCGACUUACAGGUCGUGGACUGACGAUACAAGCUAGCUAGCUAGCUAGCAGGCUAACAGCCGUG